rnacentral:tRNA from 1 species
GGGCCGUUAGCUCAACUGGCAGAGCAGCGGACUCUUAAUCCGCGGGUUGGGGGUUCGAGUCCCUCACGGCCCA